CGACAAAGAGAGAGAGAGAGAGAGAGAGAGAGAGAGAAACAGAGAGUAAAAAGGUAGGAGUGGUUUUGAUUUGGUCGUCUGUUCGGGUUGUUUUACCUUUGUUUACCUUUGCUGUGGCUCAUCACACCUGCUGUAGUUUCUGAACGUUCAAUAAAUGACAAACUUGGACUGAUUACCUCGUUAUUUGUGAGCAUACGUCACAACAAACAUCAAAGGGCAAAUAUAUUUCAUUAAGUUUUAACAAAUUCUACCACGAUAAUUAUGUGAAAUUAAAUUAAUUAUAUCCUGACUUCAGAAGAUUUGCCUAUACCUUUACUGGGCUCUUUGGUUCCUCCUAUCAGUCUGUAGUUUCUCAUAUUGAG